CAAGUAUUGACACCUAUAUUCUUGUUUUUGUGGGAGGGUGUUGAUUUGAUAUUUAAUAAAGUUUAUAAUUUUUUAUUUUCAAAAUUUUAUUUUUAAUAGCAAUACAGAUAUAAAAACAUAAAAAAAAUUAAUUUUAAUUUUUUAUAUAUAUAAAAAUACUCUAUUCAUAGCUAUAUUGACAGAUCGAAUAAGAUAUACUAAUUUACGUUGUUUUAGAUUACAUAAAUUCGGCCGAUCCAAUGUAUAAGAUCAUAGCUACGUGGACAUCGCUCAUUAGCUUAUCCCCUCCCAAAAUUUAUUCGUUUUCGUUUUCCAAUCGUGAUUGUGCGGCAGAAAAGACGUAAAAGAAUAUUUUUAUUGUGUGAUUUUUUAACAAAAUUUUAUGCCCGUCGUAUCACCAGCUUAUUUAGCAUAAACCAUAUAUUCUGCUUUGGAAUUUCAGUUUCAAAAUACCUUGUUUAAGAAAUAAAAAUAUUAAAAUACUAUAAACCAUACAUUCCUGUAUGGUGAUGUAAAAAGUUAUUUAUACUAUAAACAAUAAAAUGUAACAAUUUAUUGAUAGUUAAUCAAUCUUUCACUUGGAAAUUGGGAUGGUUCAAAAAUUUUAAACAUGGAAAACUUAAUUCAGUAAACAAAUAAAUUUUAUUUAUGUUAUUUAAAAUAUUGUUUAUAUUUUUAAAAAUGAUUAAAUAAUAUACGAGCUAAGAAAACUAAUAAAAACACACGUAAACAAGCCUACACUAAUUUAAGUCGAAAAAGAAAUCUCCAGGUAUAAAGUAUAAACCCUUCUCCUAAAAAUAAAAUAAAAUACAUCCACACAAUUUGAAAAAAGAUUUGAAUCUUUAUUAGAUGUUAACUCGAGGUUUUUGACAAAUUGUUUUAUAUUGACGUGAGUUUAAUUUCAAGAAAAAGAAAAAGAAAAAGAAAAUCACGUCAGAUUGGGUAAUCUACCAGAGUCCAAUCAGCACUUGAUUAUAAAGAGACGAGGAGGCUUGGUAGUCAAGGGAACACCAGAACGGAACAAAAAGUGACAAAACCCGUGUGUGGAUGGAUCGUCUGAUUCCUGGUCAUCUCAAAGCUUUUCGGAAAUCGAGGGAUGGUGACAUUUUUAAUUUAUUUUUAAAAAGCUUAGUGAAGUAUUCCCAUCACUGAUGAAAAGGAUUGGCAUUGCUGUGUGUGCAUUUUCUUUGCUUUUGAGGAGUGGCCAUUUUUAAAAUGACAAGAAACACCCUCUCACUUCUGGUGGGGCUUCUCCCUGUCCGAAGCCGUGUCUUUUUUUUUAUUUGGUAGGUGAGCGACCAUGUUUAUUUGAUGAUGUCUUUCCUGCAUUCUCACAGGACCCACUGUCUGAUUACCGGAGAUUGCCUUUUUAAUUUCUAAGUGGGAAUAGUAUUUGUUUUUUUUAAAUAUAAAAAUAAUAUAAUUUUAUAUUUUUAAAAAAUAUUUUUAACAUCACAAAUUAAAAUAAUUAAAAAAAUAAAACAAUUAAUUUUAAAUAGAAAAAAAAUUCAAAUUCAAACACACGGUAAUUAAAAGGAGAUCGCCUAUUUCUUUCCCUCUUCUUUUUCUUUUUUUCUUUGCGGCGAUUAUUAAUCUUUUUUUCUUACAAAAAGGGUGGAUUAUUUGACGACUAUCUUAGCCGCCUAUUCCGUAGACUUGUUCAAGUUUCCAUCAUUCAAGUUUCCGUCACGUGAUGGGAAGGGAUACACAAUGAAAAUUGGCCAUGGAACGUCGGUCGGUCUCCAUUGGCGUUCCCGUUUCAAGAACUAUCAACUUCUGGAUGUAUUUUACUCACGGCUUGAUAUUGUUGAUGAGAUAUUUUAAAGAUAUAUUUUUUUAGAUAUUUGAAGAGUAAUUAGUAUUAUUUUAUUACUUAUUUUCUAGAUUUUUUUUUUCAAUCAGUAUUAUCAAUCAUCUUGUCGUAUUUCUAUGAAAUAGAUUAUAUUGAACUAUGAAAUGAUAAAUCACGGUGAUGCAUUGUGCAUAAAUUUAUUUGAAUUAAAACACCAAAAAUUACAUAAAUUGAUUGUUAGAUUUUUAGUAGUAAAAUUAACAGCAAUAAAAAUUGACAGAUUGAAAUAUUUUAUUGAUUUAAUAUAAUGUUUAUAGUAAUAUUUAUUUUAUUUUAGAAGUAUAAAAAUUGCUCCAGGUUUUUUUAAAAAAGAACAUAUUUACUGCAAAAAAUAAAUAAAAAGUAAGUUUGAACUCUCCAUCAAGUAACGGGACACCAAAAACAUCUAAUAUAUAUAGGAAGACUUGUUUUGUGAGUUAUCACUAAUCGCUUUGAAAAAGAGUGAUGGUAAGUAUAUAAGGAUUCUAAUACUUCAUUGCCCAACUUUUGACAGCAUUUGGUAAGUUGGAAGACGGAUAGGUAUUAUUUAUUUUUGUGUUUUAAAAAUAUUUAAAUUUGUUUUAUUUUUUUAUUUUAAAUUAAUAUAUUUUUAGUAUUUUAAAAUCAAUUUAAUAUGUUAAUGUUAAAAAUAAUUUUUAAAAAAUUUUUAAAAAAUUAUUUUAAUAUAUUUUUAAAUAAAAAAUAUUUUUAAAAAUAAUUAUAACUACGUAUCUAAACAGGUUAAAAGUGCAAUUCACCUCAUGACAAUCCGUUCUAUCUUCUUCGCCGAUCUCUACCAUGUAGAGUGCAAGCUGCCUACGGCUAUUACUGAUGAACUUGAGAAAAAUUAUCGUGCCUUUAGUUGGGGGAUAGAAGGGUGGUAAUUAAGACGAAAAUGCAUCUUAAUCUUAUUAAUUAGGAGUCUGUCUGUCAACCAAACAGGCGUGAAGGAGCUGGCUGAAAUAUUUAGGCACUAUGAAAGUUGUCAUGUUGAUGAAAUUUGGCUGGGUCUGCUGACUCGAAAAGUAAUUUAUGGGUUGAGGUUUUAAGGAGCAAGUGUAAGGUUUGUGAGGACAUAAUUCCUGCUCUCUAGACUCUUUGCCAGACCGAAUUCGUCUCCUCUAUGGAAAGCUUUGUGCUUCGUUUAGCCUUGUGUUUUGGAAGAUGUUCUCUUGGAUCGGGAUUCGGGUUGAUUCUUGGAUAGAUGCUCUCUUGGAUCGGUUUCGGGUUGAUUCUUGGAUAGAUGGUCUUAUGGACUUUGCUACUGAUCAGGGUAAAUGGAGGCGAAGCUAAUUUGGCAGCUUUCUUCCGUCGUCUAUUCUCAAAUUGAUGAUGAUGAGUUGAUAUGGUAGCCUUCUUCGAAUGGCUGUUUCUCUACUGAAUCUACUUAUGAUAUAGACAAGUAUAGAUGGAAUUAUUCUAAGAAGAUAUGGUCUUUAGUGCGGGGUUGGAAUAGUCCUUUUUAUUUUUUUUAUAUUAAUAUGGUUAUUCGAACAAACUUACGUGUAAAUUUUUUUUAAAUAGACAAAUAUUGCUGCUCUCGUUUUGAUUUCUUUAUGCGAAAUUUAUUUUUUAAAAAUAAUACAUGUUGAUAAAUUUUUUGAAAUAAUGACAUGGAUUGAACAAAUACUUGAGAAACAGUACAAUUUGAACAUAAUUAUAUUUUUGUAUUUGAAUUCUUCAAGUUCCCAUAGACGACAUUAUUUAUAAAGUCUUAAAAAUCUAAGUAGUCUUGAAAUAAUAUUUUCGAGUUAGAUAAUCGAUUAAUUAAUUGAUGUUAAUAAUUUUAUUUAUUUUUAUUGAUCUAGAUAGUUGAUAGCUUAUACUUAGAUUUAUAGCUAGUACUUGUAAGAGAUCUCAUGGGGAUGUAGACUCUUCAAUACUUAAAUAAGCAUUUUUUUAGAGAAAGAAAAAUUAAUAAUAUUAUAGAAAAAAAUACUUUGAAAAUAUAUAUGCAUUAAAAAAUGAAGAUUGUGAAGCUCUUGUUCUGAAGAGUCUUGUGAUAUAUUUAUAGCCCAUGAAUUUUAUUUUUUUUAUAGAGAAAAGAAGCUUGAGUAUAAUUUUAUUUUGUGAUAUUUUAAAUUACAUUAUAAAUUGUAUUUCACUCAUUUUAUCCGGCUAAAAAAGAGAGAAAUGAUGAACCAUGAUUGAUUUAAGCCCACCUAGGGCUAUGUUUGACAUACUACCAAGCCUAAUCGUGAUUAAGUAGUAUUAAAUUUAAAUGUUUUUUUAAUUUUAACCGGUUAAAGAGUCAAUCUUUUUAAUUAUAUAUAAUUAGGUAAAAUUACGAGUUUUUUCCCCAUAAGAAACCGAUUGGAAUGGGAAAGUGUCAAAAAGUUUCAAUCUUCCCACCUUGAGACAGAGCAUGAGAAAUGUUCCAAUGUCCAGGUGGCCUUUACUCCAAUUAAGGACGAAAGUAGUUGAUCAAAGCACAGUAAGGGGCAACUUGGGAUGCCAUCAGCAUUGUUCCUCUCAGUAUCCUAUUGCAAAUUUGACUCUGGCCUCACGAGUAUACACUAUACACACUGCCCAUCGCUAAAUAAUCUGAACUAGCCUUUUCUCUCAGUGGUUGGAAAUUCGGCUUUCAUGUCGGAGGAAGUGCUCAUAUGCAGCAGGAAGGAGCUGUUUAUUUUUACCUUUUAAAAUAUUUUUGAAAAAAAAUAUUUUUUAUUUUAAAUUAAUAUUUUUUUAGUGUUAUUAAAUUAUUUUGAUGUGUUGAUAUUAAAAAUAAUUUUUUAAAAAUAAAUAUAAAAUAAUAUUUUGAUAUAUUUUUUUAAUAAAAUAUACUUAAAAAAAACAACACUUCUAAACAUACUUGAAACCCUUUGUUACGCCACACACAAAAUGUCAAAAUUAGGAGGUUGCUUGCUCUCACUUUUAAGAUAAGUGAUUAGCGUGGGUAAAACAUCGAAUUGAAAUCUCAUAAAGACUACAUUUUCAAUUCGAUAAAAGCAUCUCCUUUGCCCUACAAUUAAUAUUUUACUAAUUUACUCCACCAGUCUAAAUAUAAGCAUAUUUGUGUGUGUUAAUGAUCUCUUGAGUUUCUAUGGCAGCUUACCAAAUCUAACCAUUAAAAUAAAGUUUUUCAUUCAAUCAUGGCCCGUUAAAAUGAAAGAAUUAUCUCGCAUCAAGAGGUUGGUUUCACAGCUCGGCAAUCAUCAAUAAAUUAUGAAAAUAAAUUUCAUCAAUCCCACCUGUGCUUGCAUUGUAAUCUUUGACGUGGUUGGGAAUUAACCACCACGAGCACGUUCGCAUUCAUUUGUUAACCUAAUUUUAUGGCCCUCCAUCAACCAAGUAUGGUUCCAGGACAAAACAGCUUAACAAUAUGUAGUUAGCCCAGUUAAUCAAUCCACUUUAUGUUUUGUUUUUAAGCCACCUGUUGCUUUGUUCUGUACCAGAAGAAAGCAGGUUUUGCCAUGGAAGCGAUCCCAUUUCACCCUCUUUCUCUGUGUCCUGUCACUUACAUUCACAAGCUGCUAAAUUAUUUCCAACAGCUUGAAUAACAAGACAUGGCACCUUAGGCCCAGUUUGGUUGCCAUCAUUUUCUUUUUUUUCAUUAGUUUGUAAACAUUUCUGUUCUGAGAAGACAUUUUGAGACGAAAUGUAAAUAUGAUUGCGAAUCCAAUUCCUCCGUUUCCAUACAAGGGUUAUAUACGGCGACAUCAAAUUUUAGAAAAAAUGUCAAAAGUUGAGAAAGCAUCUCGGUAAUGAUGGGUUGGAUUAGUGAUUAGAAUAAUGGUGCUAAACUAGUAAUGAUGCGCUUAUUAUAGUAGCAACGUGAUAAAGACCUUGAAAGCCGCCUUGUUGCAAUAAUUUUGAUGGGGGCAGUGAGAAUCUUGAGGCGAGUGAGAUGAAGCAUAAAUGAUGAGAAAGGGGAAGUUGAACGAGAGAAGGCUAACUUUGGGGACAAGAAGCCAAAAUUGUAAAGCGAGGGACCGCUCGAUUUCAUACAAUUACACAGCCCCCAUAGCCUGGUCGGCCUCUUGUUUUGCAUAUGGGGCCAUUUGCAUUUUAAGGUACAAUAGAGGGGUUUUAAAAAAAUAUUUAAAAGAGAACAGGAAACACUCGCGAUUUGACUGUUAAUUCUCAUAAUGAAAUGAAUAUUUUGCUCUUCAUAGUAACAACCAUGAAGUGAGAUUUGGAAGGUAAAAUAGUUUUUUUACUGGAUUUAUUUGACACUAUAAAAUUAAUUUGGGGUAAAUCGGUUUAUUUAACUAUCCUUGAAAGCAAGGAACCUAAACUGACGUAUUGAAAAUUUGAAACCUUUUAGUCUUCUCGUUUUUUUCAAAAUACUAAAAUGGGCCUUUUUUUGCAGUGAAAUCCCUCCUCAUCUUGAAGUUAUGAAAUUUAAUAUAAAAAAAUUGUUUGACAUGGCGACCUAAUGUUUCCAAUUAAUCCAAUUCAUACCCCUGCAUUUAUUACGCUCACACACACAGAUAUAAAGUAACGUUUUGUGGAAAAGAAGUCACAGAACGGAUUCCAUUGCCCCCCCCGCUGGAUGGCAAAUGCUGCUAGAGCUUUUUCGACGUGAUUGGAUCUACUUUGCGAUAUCUUUUUCUUCCCCGUGUGAAAGAAGUGCCUGAUUAAUCAACUUUCAUGAAAACAAAUUAUUUUAUUUUAUUUAUCCUUUCUUUUGUUUUUUAUUUAUCCUCCUUCCUUCCUUCCUUCCGGUACUUCCAUUUUAGCCGAUCGAGUUUCCUCCUUCCAUUGUAGCCUGAACCCACACUCGAGUUUCUCUACAGUUGAUUGCUAAUCCUGCAUGGUACUUUAGGAGCACGCAGGCGAGGAGCAUGUUGCAAUCAUAGGCAGAGAAGACAAAAUAUAUUUUCCAGCAGAUUGAACAAAACAAAAUAAAAAAAGGGGGUCGUCAUCCUAUAUGUUAUCAAAGCACUAUCCAGGGCCCGGAAAUUUGUCAUGUCUACAUCAUUCGAAGUAUGAAUACCUUUUCUACUCACUAAUGGAGACCAAAGGGUGUUUUUCUUGCGCUUUUAAGAAGAACAUGGCGCUACCAGUGCCACCCGUCACAGUUAUGGAUAAUGCUUGUAAUCAUUAGUGAUGACAGUGUGACUCGUUAUUCCAUUGUCGAAAAACUUUAACAAUAUCAAGCUAAAACUAACACACUCGCAGUCAUUUUUCCCUUCAUAGGAAAUUAGUGUAAGAGGUAAAUACAAGUUAUCUCACCAACCCAGUUUGUGUAGGAAAUUACUGUUACUUGAAUCAAAUCUAACCGCAAUAACUUACAGCUCUUUUCUCAAAUCACAAGGGAAAUAACGUAGUUUUCAUUUCUCAAGUGCCAUACCUUUUAAAGUACGUAGACAGAUUUAUAUAUAUUAUCUGUGGAGAUAAUUCUCUCUUCCAAUUCUCUCUCAUUUAUUCUAUUAUAAGGUUAAAUAUUUUAUUAACGCAGCCGAACCAUUGCAGAAUUCGGAUUUUGGAGUUGGGUCGUGGUUACAGGCUUGGCGUUUCCCGUGUCCGAUCCUUGCGUUUUUUUCUUCUUUUUUUUUCUAAAUAAAUAAAAAUGCUGGAAAUAUGCAUUCAUGGAAUAUACACUACACAACACAUGCAUAUAGGUGAACUGACCACUCAAACUUGUACGAAUUAUAGGAGCCGAGGUGUUCACGUGGGAAUAGUAAUUAAAUUGUGCACUCACUACUGCAAAGACGAAGGGGAAAAUCUAAUUUCGAAACUACUUGGGAUCCAAUAUAUAUAGAUAGAUAGUCUCCUCUCCUACAUCAAUGGAGAUUCAAGGACCCGUGAAGAAACUACUAGUGAACGGGCCUGGGUAACUUAAAUUCUUGCGUGAGAUGCUGGACAUGCGCAAGUAAACUGGGUAUCGUGAAGGCAUUAAUUUUAAUUUCAUAUUUCUUUCCUUCUUUCUCUUCCUUGUCUUUUUAUUUCUUAAAUGAAUUUGCCAAUUCUCAUACUUCACAAAACAAAUUCACCUGUUUUGUUUUGGAUCUGUUGACUUGGUUUUUUUUUAAUGUUUCCAAAUUAAACGAUUUAAUGAUAUGCCUAAAAUAACAAGGACACCCAACACACUCUUUAAGCUAUCUAUCAAAUUGACAAUGUAUGCUCUUAAAACUUGGGUGGCGCAUAAUAUUGUGUUGAUUUCUGCCUUUUAUAUAGUUUUUUGUCUAAAACAAUAUUAAAUUAAUGAUUUUUAAGUGUGUAUUUUUGAUAAUUUUAAUGUAUUGAUAUAAAAAAUAUUAUUUAAUAUAUUUAAAAUUAAAAUUUAUUUUUAAAAAGCACUCCACGAUAUCAAAUAUUCAUUAAUCAAUCUCCUUUGAUUUUUUUCAAACCAUGGAUUAAAUCUCUUGCCCUUCCACAAAUAACAUCAUCGACGUCCCACUUGAAUUACCUACAUCCAGAUGGCUUCCCACCCUCGUUUUUCAACCGAGAUUGGGAUUUUUAAUAUUAAACUGAGAAUUUCUUAUUAAACAUGUUAAUACCUCUGCUCAUGGGGGACGGAUGACAUGUCAUUUGUUUGCCGAAGUGUCACAUGAUCCUCCUCCACGAUGGACCAGUAAAAUUAUGAGUGUGGCAAGUGAUAUUCUCUUCUAUCCAUGUCAACCUAUUACCUGCUUCAAACACGACACGUGUGAUUCUAAAGUCAAAAUUAACCUUCAUUGUCAUUGACCUCGACCUCUAACCGAAGGAUUUUUAACGUGUAACAGUGCAGAUAAAAAAAAAAAACAAUACUCAAUUGCCGAAAUUGAUAAGUGUUUUCGCCAAAAAUCAUAAAAUACAUAAUAAACAAGUUGUCCUUUAGCGUGAACAAAUGGUUGCAUGUUAAAUUAAAUUAAAUUAAAUCUAUAUAAUUUUGGAAACCACGUGUUAUGUUUCCUGAUGAAAAAAUGCUUUUAAUUUUUUUUUUUUGUUUCAAAUUAAUUAGGGCUAGUGUUUUUAAUUUGUUUUAACAUGCUGAAGUUAAAAAAUAAUUUUAAAAAAUAAAAAAUAUAUUAUUUUAAUGUAUUUCUAAAAAAAACAUUUUAAAAAUCAAUUAUUAUUAUUCUACCAAACACCAUCUCAAAAUGAAUGUGAGAAAGCACACCUUGUAUGCAAUGCCAUUUUCCUGUUAUUUUACCUAUAGCGGAAAACUACAUUUUCCUGGUUAUAUUAACUUUUCUCCAAGUUUCUUUAAUUAGUUAUAGAUCUCAGAUUAUUAUUUCCUUACGUCUUAAGAUUCAAUUUAAUUUUUAAAUAAUUUUAAAAUCAACAUCAAUAAUAAUACAUUACAGUAUAAAAUACUAAAUUGAAGACUUGAAAUCAAUAAAUUAAAGAAGGAAAAACUUUCCCAGAUAUGAAAUAAACUCUGACAUGCAUGCAUGGCAGGAGACACAGAUUCCACAACAUGGAUAAAGUGGAAAAAGAAAUGAAGAAAAGAAAAGGCAAGUUCAGUGUUUGUUUGUGGGAUCGUGUAUGUCGUGUCUACAUCAAAUCCCGACAUGCAGGGGCUAGGUUUCUUGUUCCGACGAGUAAAAUGGUAGCAGAGUAGCAGCGACUCUCUCACACUGUAAAAUACCAAAAGAAACUUGUUAGCUUUGAGUUGGCAACAUCAAUAGGGGGCUUGCAUAUCACUGCUCAUUGCUAGCUUCCAUUUUGUCUCUCAUGGCGAACAAGAUCCAGUGAUGAAAUUAUUAUCAGCGGCAGACCCAUUUUCAGACUUCACUGUAACAUGGAGAUCCUCGUGAUUAACUUAAUAAAAAUAAGGUGUUUAACCGACAUCAAUAUUGUGUGGAUGCUAUUAUAGAUUACCCUUUCUUGACAAAUGAAAGAUUUUUAUCCAUAUCGGUUCUUUUAAUGUAUUUUUUAACAUAAAAAAAUUUAAAAUGUAAAUCGAUCAAAAGUCUAUGAUAACGUCUAGUUAAAUAAACUAAUAAUUAUUUAUGUAAAUAAAUAAAUAAAUAAAUCAUUAACAAUAAACAAAUAAAAAAAUAAAAAAAAUAAAAAAUAAAUACGGAUUAAGAUAUUCAGUCAUACAAAAUGAAACAUUUAUCCAAUUGUGUCUAUUAAAUUUAUUUACUUAAAUUAAUAAAAGAUAAAUCUAUACCCUAAAAAUCUCAUAACAUAAAAGAUAAACAUAAAUAAAAUUGACUAGAUAAACUCGCCCUAAAAACAUUACACAAGGCCGAAUACGUCAUCAAUAUUAUUUACAAACAAAUAUUUUUUAUUUUAAAAAAUAAUUUUUAUUUGUAUAAAACAAAAAAUAUAUAAAUCAAUUAGAAUAAUAUCUUAAAAAAAUCAGCAAACAAACAAACAAACAAUUCUAAAAAUAAUCAUAUUAAAAAAAUGGCAUGCAAAACACGUUACUUGAAUCAUGAGACCGGAACAAAUCCAUAGAAAAAAAUUCAAGAUCAUCACAAAACCAAUAUUUUCUUAAAAAGAAAAAAAAUAUAUAGAAUUAUUAGAUCGUACGAAGCCAAAUAUCCAACAAAUCAAAUGUCAAAAGAUUAAAUUAUAAAAAAUAAAUCCAAUUACAUAAAAGCAUUCAAAAAAAAUUAAAGGUGAAAAAACAAUUCAUUAAAGGGCAAAUAAAGAUUUUAUUUGACCAGUUCUUUGCAGCAGGCCGUAAAUUUAUUUUUAAGAAAUUAAAAUAGAAACCAAAAGGUGUAAAUCAAAUUUAUUUGACGAGUUCUCGAGUAUAUAGAUAUUUUGAUAUGUUUUUUUAGGUAAUAAAAUUUUAAGUGUAAAUAAAAAAGUCUACCCAAAAAUCUAAUAAUUAUAUAUAUAGAUAAAAAAAUCAUGAAUAAUAAUUAAAAUAGAAAGUGAAAAUAAAAUAAAAAAUAGAUGUGGAUUAAGAUAUUUGAUCUCGCAAAUGAAGACAUUUACCCACUUGUAUCAAUUGAACUUGUUUAGUAAAAUCAAUAAAAGAUCAUGAAAAUAAAAACACAUAUGAAAUCAUGUGAAUAAAAUAAAAAAUACAAAACAAAAUAAAUAACAAUUAGAAGAAUUGUAAAUGAAUUCAAUAUAAAAAUUAUCUGAAAUUAAAUGUUUUGUGAAAAAUGAAAUGAAAUUAAAUGUUCUGAGAUAGAAUUGAAAAAAAAUAAUAAUUAAAAAAAUGAAUAACAAAAUAGAAAUUAAAAGAAUUAUUAGGGAUGAGAUGAAAAUAAAUCAAUGUAAUUGAAACAAUUCCACCUAAGAGAAAAUGGAUUGAAUAAAAAGAAAAAGGAAAUUGGAGGCUGGUUUGAUUUUUGCAUGGUCGGCACGCAACCCGAAUAUAAAAAAAAAGGAAAAUAAAGAAAGAAAAAAGAAAAUUAGUGUCAAACCCAACACAACCCAACCGAACCACCAUAUAUGUGCUGCUAAGAGAGGAAAAUGAUGUCGAAACCAAUCAAAUAAUGUGAUGGGAGCACAAUUAAAACCAUUGAAGUCAACCAAAUGCGUUGCCCGAAGGUGAUGGAGCUUCUAAUGCAUCUGGGUACGCAUUAACAACUAUAAUUUUUUUUGUACAAAAUAAAAAAUGCUUUUAUAACUAAAUAAUAAUAAUAAUAAAUAAAUUAUUAUGAAAUUACAACCAAGCCCCUAAAACCAAAGCUGAAAACAUUGGAUGUGAAGGGUAAUGGAAUAGUUAUAUUAUAAAAUAACUAAAGGCCCUUAACCAAAAGUUAUGACUAUUUACUUUUCAAUUUCAAUAUCCUAAUUUUAUUGUUAAGAUCAAUGUAAAAUUCUACAAUGCCUCUUAUUACCUUAUAAAAUAACAAAUAAAUUAAUAGAAAAAAAAAACACCACCCCAUCCUAAACCUUAGAGCUGCAAAAUUCUACCUUUCAAGUCCACGAUAUAAUGAAUUUAUUAUGUCUUGGUUCUGAAUGCAUAUGCAAUAAAAGUAUCACAAAGUUUAGAUCUUGUCUCGAAACACGGUUCAAAUUGUGUUGUAUCAAAUUUUGAGAUUUUGUUUUUACAUAAAAUUAUUAUUUUUUAACUUUUGAGAUAUAAUUUUUAAAAUUUUUUUUAAAAAUAUUUUGAUGCAUUUCUGAAAAAAGAUAAUCCAAAUUUACAAGUAAUACUUAAUAAUAUUUGGUCAAGUAAGGCCCGGCCAUAACACAUGCAGCGGGCUAUUGGGAUAGUCGGCCCGAAUUUACAAUCGUUGGGCCCAUAGGUAAGAUUAAUGAUCCACGUUCCCCCACCAGACAGAGAAACCUAGUGAAUAAUAAAAAACAAAACAAAACAAAAAGAAAGACAGACGAAGUUAAUUCUGUUUCUUUUUUCUCUCCCCCUUGAGACCAAUUGUAGGGUUUUGCCAAAAAUCUCAAAACUCCAAAGAAAUCCAAGCCAAAACCUACCCUGUCUGAUUAAGAAAACCACAAGAAUUCUUCUCUUUCUUACUUUCUGCCCAUUAACAAUGACAGACGGUUACUGGAAUCGGCAACAGCCUUCCAAUGUCCCUUCCAGCGGCAUGCUAAAACGACCUCGUUCCGACUACGGUACGUUCUGCUCUCCCUUCCUUUUGUUAAAUGCAAAAUUUAGAGUGCCAGAUUAGGAUUACUGUAUCUUUUUGUUGGAAUUAGAUCCAUAAAUUACUGUUACAAUGAAGUAUGUUGGAACUAUUGGUCGAUUUAAAAAAAAAAAAUUAAUAGAGGCGGUGCCUGCUGUUGCUACUGCUUGGUUGUCUGGUUCGAUAAUUUGUAUAUUUUUGAGAAGUAAGAUGUGGAUAGAAGUCUCAACGGAUUUGAUUUUGGGGGUCUUGCAGAUAUGCCUUCAAGCUAUGAGAUGCAGAACUACUAUCCGCGAGAUGUUGAUGAUGAUCGCACUAGGUAUGAAACUGUCAAGGACAGUAAGACUAUAGGAUCAGCAUAUGACCGCUACCUUCAGAAUGCGGUAUGGUUCUUUUCAAACCCUAUAUAUUGCUGUUUUGUUACCCCCCUGUGUAUUUGCUGAUCUACUCGUCCUUUUUUGUGAAGCAAGCUCCUACGUUUGCUUCUAGAGAAGCCAGUGCAUUGGGAGGAGCUGGGUUUGGAAGGGGUAUUGGUGGUGGAAUGAGUGGUCUUCCGAUAGCUGAUUCUGCUGUAAUGACUCGCCCUCGGUCUGCUGGUCUAGACCUGGCAUCGAAUGGUAGAGAUGUUGGUUUUGUUCGUCAGCGACCAGAGGAUAGAAUUGCUAGGUCAGAUCGUGAAAUGGCACAUCUACCUCCAGAUGCUUCCAACACUUUAUAUGUUGAAGGAUUUCCUCCUGACUGCUCAAGGAGGGAAGUAGCUCGUAUCCUUUUAAUGUCGUAGUGAUGUUGCACAAUAAUGAUACCCUUUGUCUUGCUCUUUUUAUUAGUUACCAAGGCUUUCUUUCCAACUAUGUUUUAUGUUCCUUUACUGGAUGUGAUAGAUAUAUUUCGACCUUUUGUGGGAUAUAAAGAAGUUAGACUUGUGAGCAAAGAAGCAAGACAAGUAAGUAGAUGAGUUAGAGUACUUUCUCAUACUUGGUUUAGUAAUCUGAUGCUCAAACUGGCUUUUUGGAAAGUGUGACUAGUCUUUCAUUGAAUGCAGCGUGGUGGAGAUCCUAUCAUCCUUUGUUUUGUUGAUUUUGUAAAUCCAGAAUGUGCAGCAACUGCGAUGAGUGCCUUGCAAGGUGAUGAUUUUGCCUUUUUAUCUAUCUAUAGUGAAACCGAUGCUAGGGGUUGGAGGCUUUCUUAAUACAAUGAUGUUUGCUGCUAUUGUACUUUACACUGUUGUAUAUGGGUUUGCGUGUGUAAGACUCACCUUAUUAACAUUUUUUUUCUGCUGUUCACCAAUUUACAUAUUCCUAUUACUAAGUUGGUUCUGAAGAAAUUCUUGCAUGAGAAUGAUAUGUACCAUGGCUUUGCUUUUUUUCUCCUUCCUGUAGAUGGGUUGGGGGGGGGGGCACUUUUCACCAUCCAUCUUGCCACAAUAAGAAUUGGAAUUGCAAAUAAAAGUCAUUCCAUGAUAGUAAUUUACUCAUACUUGUUUGAAAUGUCUGGAGAUGCUAACUACAUGGAUGUAAUCUGCAGGUUAUAAAGUUGAUGAACAUGAUCCUGAUUCUAGGUAUUUGAGGCUGCAGUUUUCUCGACACCCAGGCCCAAGAUCUGGCCCUAUAAGCCGUGGAAGGAGGUGAAAAUACUUGUUGCAGAAACACCUAGCUUUCAAUGCAAAACAGUUUCUUAGUUUGCAUUCAUCCACCUUUUCAGAGUGUUUAUUUAACAAUCUAUAAUCUAGAACUUGCAAGCUAGAUUGCUCAUCCUGGCUGUACUAGUUAUGUAUAAUCUUGAUCUACCAAAAUAAUGAGGGUUCAAUUAAUUGCAGGAAAUGACUUGGUAGUUUACCGAUUUUAUUUAGCAGAAAAUGUUGUGUGAUGAUUGUUGAAUCUCAAGUCAUUUACCUUUGGUGUUGGGAGUUAUUUUCUAGCGAUUUGUUUCUAAUAUUUGGAAUGUUUAAAUUCUUGGCUUUCGCUUUAUGAUUCCAUGUAAUCCUUGUGUGGUGCAAUUGAUUGAAGAUCCUUCUGGGGAUAAUUUAAGCGCGCUACUCGCGUGACAAAAGAUGAAUAGUAUUCAAUUAGGAAAUGCUUUAACUAAAUUUUUUUUUUUUUUUUAAAUAAUUGUUGAACUUUAGAACUUCUAGAGACUUGCAUGAAUGUGGUUUCCGGUUUCAUGGUUGCUAAUUUGCUGUGUUUUUACGAUAAAUGCAUUGUUUGCUGGGAAGUUGCAACCAUUGCAUAGCUACCCUAUAUUGUUGCUGCAGUCGUUUGGGUAAGUUUAAGCAUCUUUUUUUUUUUGGGUAAAGCUAUUUACUGUUUGUACUCUUCUUUUUAUGUUUGUUGAUCUGCCGCCCCUUGCUUUGGAGAAGCUCGUCUAGCAAGUUGUGGAAGAGAGAUCUUUUCUGUUUGUGUUUCAUCUUUCUUUAUGUUUAUCUGCAUGACAGACUGAUGAACUUUGUUGAUCUGUUCGUUUGGAACUGCAUCGAUCGGCAUUGCAUUAUAGGUUCGCUAUCUUUCCUUGGACAGUUAAGCACACGCUUUUUCGCCUUCCUGUCUCCACUGUCACUUCGCUUCAUUGAUUAGCAUUUUGCAUCCGGCACUCAUGGAAUGAUUCAGAACUGAUACCUUGUGAUGCUCGGACUCCUAUGGCUUUCCCCAAGUACCUUUGGUGUCUACAUGGGUACGACUCCUCCAGAACUCUGAACACGGCAGUUUUGGUUUUCAGAUACCAGUGCCGUCGUGGCAUUUUGUGUGUUUUAAUGUCCACGACGUAGAUGAAAAAAGGAGGAACGAGAAGAAGAAACAACUGGCCACAAAAUUUUUAACGCCAUCCAGUUGGAUUAAUACAUCUAAAACCUUAUUGAAAUGAAUAUGGGCUUACUUGUAGAAUUAAUUGGGUCAUGAAUUAAUGAUAUUUGGAGUGGGAAUUGUGGGCUAGCUAAAUAGCUUCAUAUCAAGAAAAAGUACUGGUCUCCAAGAAUUUUCUGUAUAUUUUGUGCGAAGUGAAAUAAUCUCGCUCCCGCAUCCAAAAUUUAAAUAAUUCCAAGCUGUCUCUUGUAAAAUCUUAAAUUUGAGAAGUCCAAAUAUCUGAUAUACGUAUAUGAGUCCGAGCAAUAUAACUUACACAGCCAACGCCUUCAUCAGGAUUAUUGACCACUUGCUCGUUAACAAAAAUUACAAGACAUUUUUUUACAAGUACCAUAGCACUAUGGAUAUGGAUCACAAUGGUGCUAUGUUUAUUUUUCUUCUCCAAAUUUUAUUUUUUAUUUCAUCCUUUCCAGGAUCAAAUUGAUGGCCGAUUUAAUUCAAUUUGUUUAGAGAGGGUAAAAUUCUAAGAUAGAGGAUUAAAAUAGAGGAAAAAACAUAGAAAAUGGGUGGCUGUUUCUAAAUUGCAUGAAAAGUUCACUUUGAUCCUCUUACUUUUCCAAUUAAUUUUUAUUUUGUUCCUUUGGUUUUUUAUUUUUUUUUAAUCAAGAUUUCAUUUUCAUUAUUCUUCAAUCCUCCGUUUGAGAGUGAAGAGAGAGUCGCUAGAUUUCAGUUAAAGAGAAAAUCUUGAUUAACAUUGAUUUUCACAAUGAAAAAACUUUAAUAUUUGUGUUAGCGAAUUUCAUUUGACAAAAAAAGUUUUGGGGUGUUUUUAGAAUUCACAUCGCUUGGAAUGAUAGAUAUGAGUUUGAAAAGAUUUUUAAAUUUUGAUUGAUUUUAAACCAAUUUUAAGGUUAUUCAAGGUCAUAAAUUGAUUUAUCAAUGUCGUAUAGUAUGUUUUUCAGGUGUUUUUGAGUUAAAGUAGAUUGAAAAUCAAAUUUUUAGAUGAAAAAAUAUUCAUGGCCUGACUUUCCAAUGAUCCUCUAGUAGUUGAAACUAGACCUGCAAAUAAUACAUUAUUUACACCAUUUUUUAUAAACAAAUUAAGGGCGCAUGGCGCGCCCUUUGCCCUUUAGUAUAAGAAAAUUAAAAGGACUGGCACACAAGGCAUGUUUUUUUUUUUUUGAUAGGCCAUGCAUGUAUGGCAACGCCCUGCCUGGCCUAUUUCGUUUGUUUUUUUUUCCCCUCUUAUUCUUCCCUCUAAAUUUUACAUUUUAAUCAAUUUAAAUAGAAUGACUAAAAAAUAAUUUAAAAUUUUUUAUUGAAUACCAUUGAAAUUCUAUUUUUUUAUGAAUAACUCUUUUUUUUAUAUUAGCAAACGUUUCUUUUUACAACUCUUCAUGAUUAUUUUAGAUUUUAUUCUAUCACUAUUUUCUUUCUUGUUUGAUUAAAGACUAUUUGACUCAAAUGAAAAAUAUUUCUUUUAUAACAUUUUUUUUAAUAUUAUCCCAUGUUUUUGCAGCCCUUCAUAAUGCUUUUGGCUCCCAAUAAUUUUUUUUACUCAUAAUGAAAAAUUAAAAAUUAUUGCUAACGAAAUACGUUGCUAAUGGUUAUAUUUCUUUUUAGCUAUCCGAUCUACGAACCGAGCCAAUGUACUAGUCCAUCUCUAUUUCAUGUUUGUAAAUUCCAAAAUUUCAACUCAAUUGCAAGUCCCAGUCCCCACUCAGGGCCUGUGUUCAACUAAGCAAUGGAACCCAUUACCCAAAUAUUGCCGAUUAUGCCUCCCAGGCCCAUCCUCGUUUAUCGGGAUCCAAUAAACCGACGUACAAAAUACAGAGGUCUGCAUGCUGGAAGGAGAGGCCAGGAAGGAAAAAAUAAAAUUGGUUUGCGUUUUUUUUUCUGAGCCGACAAUUAAUUAUCACCCUCGGGUUUGUAUUAGUGUAUGCAAGGAGACAUAAUCCACUUUCCAGAUAACGUUAAUGUGGUUUAGGAUUUGGGUAUGUUGGGAAUUUAGUUAAUUAAUCAAAUUAAUCCAUCUAGUGAAGGUGUAUUCCCAGCUAUUUGCCUAGCCAGGCAUUAUCUAAACCUUCCAAUUAAUCCUCGGCCCCCAAAGCAUGUUUGGUAAGAGCUAGUAUUACAAAUACAAUAUGUUAGGAAUUAAGUGUUUUUUUUUUGUCUUUGAAUAAUGAAUAAUGAAUAAUUAUAUUAUCAUGUCAAUAUUUUAUUCUCCAGAUUUAAGGGGGUGGGUGGAUGAUUGGCAGUAGUUUGGUGGGGUUUAGAGAUCUUUAAAUAAUAAAAUCAGUACAAUAAAUAAAAGAAAAAAUCUUAAAAUCCAAAUGGAUAUAGAUACAAUCAAUCCCUUCCCAGUUCCCACCGAUUAAUGAUUUAUCACCCUUGCCUUUACAAUGAAUCAUGCUCAAAAAGCGCCAAAAUACGUAUCCAUCAGUAACAAAACAAAGACACGUUUCCAUGUAUGCAUUGAAUCUUCAUUUUUCAAAAGCAUAUGCCUAACCAGGUGUUAAAUCUGUUGAUUAAUCAAAAAUAUUAUCUUAAAUGUGUUACAUCAAUGGAUAAGUUUUCUUUCCUUGCGAGAGAAAAACGAGAGCGAUUAAAUUGGUUUCAUGUCAUGACAGGACCGUAUCUCUGUUCGAACUCUGGUGGUUAAACCUAAACGGGUGAAUGGAAAUCAGAUAAAGAGAAUCAAUCCAUUAAUUGUUCUUUCGUGAUCACUUUACGUGUCUGCCUACAAGGCGACGUACGUCUCUAUGCGAAGAAGAAAUUACAAAGAAGGAGAAACAGUAUGCUUAAUUAUUUGUUCGUUUCUUAUUCUAUUUUUAGAGGGUACAGUAGCAACCUGGUUCCAUCAUGCAGUCUAUUUUUACAGAAGAAGAAGAGUCUCGUUAUAGAAGAUGAUAGCUCUUUUCAUUGGUAAAAGUUCUUUUAAAAGCUUAUAAAGGAAAAUAAUUUUCUCAAAAACACUAGAUUUUUUUCUCCUUCUGUGGUGCUUAUCUACGCUUGAUUCUAUGCAUGCCCUUUUCUUCUUCUUGUUUUUCUUUUUGGGAGCAAUCUAUGGCAAGUGGUUGUAUUAUUUCACUGGUUUAGAACAAUGCAAUUGAAAUAUAUCAAGUCCUGUAUCGAGAAGUUUGAACUGCUAUGUCUAUCAGCAAUAAAAAGGAGCCUCACUGGCAAAUUAUGGCGAACCAGGCCAGAAACUGAUCCCCAUUAAGUUAAGUUAUGGACUCAAUUGCUCACAAAGUCACAAUCGAUCGCUUUCAUGUUGAACUACAGGGUGAUCGUAAUUAUUACUAUUAUAACUAUAUUAUGACGAUGAACGCAUUAGUUGAAAUAAUUCAAGGUAUUUGAUUAAUUAAUUGGCAAUUAACACUUUCAUAGAGUUUAAUUUCCACGACCCUUUGGUGCGAAUCUGGAAUUUUGGAGUCUGAACAUAAUUAGGUUUCAAGAUAGACUCCAGGCUGUUUUGAUUAGGUUCAGCGAACAAUAGACAAUGAUUAGGUUAAUGAAUUGGUAUAGUUUUUCUUCUUUUUUUCACGGUCAUAAUGGCCUCAAUAACGAGAUAGUCAUGGUUUAGGUAAUGUGCUGUGAAUCAUUAACAAUUUCGAUAUAUUUACAGGCUGCAGGGAUAAGAUCAUCAAAUUGCUUUCUUUGAAAAUGAAACCCGUUAAAGUCUAGACUUUAUCCUCAAGAGAAAGAAAAUAGGAGAAGAAGAAAACUCUUGGCAUAGAAGGCAUUUAUCAUACUAUGAACACAAGAAACGUGCUCUGUUGGUAUUUUAAAAUAAAAAAGACAGGAAGACAUUUAAUUGCAGGGAUAGUAGAGAUAAAAAUAUCAAAAUAAAUAUUUUUUUGAAAUAAUUUUGUAGUAUAUAUCCCUUUCAUCUUAAUUUUCUUUAUCUCUUUUAUAUAAAAAUAAUAAUAACUAAACACAAUUUAAACAUGAUUAUUGUUUUUUUAUAAGCCAAUAAUCAUAUUAUGAUACAGCUGCUGGAAACAAGAGCAUAAAGGCAGAUAAGAAAACCCCUGCGUCCUGUACAAUGAAGAUCCCAGGUUGUGCAGAAAUGGAGAAAUGUACAAUCAUUUUAGCUUCAGGAAAAGUAAAUUGGGUGUUUUAUAAUAUAUAGGUGUAUCGUGAUAUAAUGAAAGUUGUUUUUUGAAAUAUUUUUUUAUUUAAAAAUAUAUUAUAAUAAUAUUUUUUUUAUUUUAAAAAAUUAGUUUUGAUAGUAAUAUAUUAAAAUUUACUUAACUAUUUGAAAACGUAAUACAAAAAAUUAGCUUGUUUAGAAGUAUAAUUAUGGUUUUUUUUUUUCAAAUGUUUUUUAUUUAGAAAUAUAUUAAAAUAAAAUUUUUUAUUUUUUAAAAAUAAUUUUUGACAGUAGGGAUUAAAAUGAUCCAAAACAUUAAAAAUUUAUUAAUUUAAAAUAAAAAAUAAAAAAAAUUAAUUUUUUAAAUAUUUUUAAAAUAAAAAAUAAACAUGGCUUUUCGUCUUCCCAUAACACGAACGUACAUUUCGAACUUUUAUUUAUUUCUUUAUUCACAAAACGUCAUGCGCUCCAUUUCUCCGCCACAGGCGUUAGUUCUGUCUUUCACCAACUCUUCCGUACAGAUCUGUUGUUUACUUGCUCAAAGGCACGUGAGAUGAAGUCGUGGAGAUUGAUAACUUUCUUCGCAAAUAACCAUCACACAUGUAUCCGCCCCCCUCUAAUUCACGCAUCUUUUAAACGUAAACAAAAUAUAUUUUCUGCAUUUAUUCUUUUAAAAUAUUUUAGUCAGUUUAUUUUGCAUAAAAAAAAUUAUAUUUGUUUAUAAAAAGUAUUUUUUUAUAUUGAUUUCUCUUAAAAUAUUUUACAGAAAAAAUAAUCAAUAAAAAAUAUUUUAUAAUCUAUUUUCAAACAUGAUUUAUUUUCGUAAAAAUAAUUUUAGUUUAUAAAAUAUUUUACAAAUAAUAUUUUACUUAUAAUAUCAUUUAAUUAUUCUUAUCAUCGUCAACACCACUAUCUCUUCCUUGUCCACAAGCUUCCCAUUCAUCGUUGUUAUCAUUUUUGUUUUCCACCAUUACUAUUAUUUCAUCACCACAAUCACUAUCUUCUUUUCCUUUACUAUCAUUAAAAAAAAUAUUUUAUAAGAUAUUAUUUUUGAAAAAUAAAUAUUGAAAAAUAUUUUAUGCUGAAGGGUGUUAUGGAUAUAUAGAAGAACAAUAAUAUUGCAUCUUCUUGUUAUAUGAGAGAUAAAAUUAAUUGAAAGGAGUCUUUAUUAUUCAUUUUGGUCUCCAGUUAAAAGUGUUAUAAUUGCGAAUUAAUCUAAUCCGAAGUUAAUAUUUUUUUUCUUCUUGAUUAGCUAGACUUUUAAACGUAAACAAAAUAUAUUUUUCUGCAUUUAUUCUUUUAAAAUAUUUUAGUCAAUUUAUUUUGCAUAAAAAUUUUUAUAUUUGUUUAUAAAAAGUAUUUUUUUAUAUUGAUUUCUCUUAAAAUAUUUUACAGAAAAAAUAAUCAAUAAAAAAUAUUUUAUAAUCUUCUUUCAAACAUGAUUUAUUUUCAUAAAAAUAAUUUUAGUUUAUAAAAUAUUUUACAAAUAAUAUUUUACUUAUAAUAUCAUUUAAUUAUUCUUAUCACCGUCAACACCACUAUCUCUUCCUUCUCCACAACCUUCCCAUUCAUCAUUGUUAUCAUUUUUGUUUUCCACCAUUACUAUUAUUUCAUCACCACAAUCACUAUCUUCUUUUCCUUUACUAUCAUUAAAAAAAAUAUUUUAUAAGAUAUUACUUUUGAAAAAUAAAUAUUGAAAAAUAUUUUAUGCUGAAGGGUGUUAUGGAUAUAUAGAAGAACAAUAAUAUUGCAUCUUCUUGUUAUAUGAGAGAUAAAAUUAAUUGAAAGGAGUCUUUAUUAUUCAUUUUGAUCUCCAGUUAAAAGUGUUAUAAUUGCGAAUUAAUCUAAUCCGAAGUUAAUACUUUUUUUCUUCUUGAUUAGCUAGACUUUUAAACGUAAACAAAAUAUAUUUUCUGCAUUUAUUCUUUUAAAAUAUUUUAGUCAAUUUAUUUUGCAUAAAAAUUUUUAUAUUUGUCUAUAAAAAGUAUUUUUUUUAUAUUGAUUUCUCUUAAAAUAUUUUACAGAAAAAAUAAUCAAUAAAAAUAUUUUAUAAUCUGUUUUCAAACGAUUUAUUUUUUGUAAAAAUAAUUUUAAUUUAUAAAAUAUUUUACAAAUAAUAUUUUACUUAUAAUAUCAUUUAAUUAUUCUUAUCACCAUCAACACCACUAUCUCUUCCUUCUCCACAACCUUCCCAUUCAUCAUUAUUAUCAUUUUUUUUUCCACCAUUACUAUUAUUUCAUCACCACAAUCACUACUUUUCCUUUACUAUCAUUAAAAAAUAUAUUUUAUAAGAUAUUAUUUUUGAAAAAUAAAUAUUGAAAAAUAUUUUAUGCUGAAGGGUGUUAUGGGUAUAUAAAAGAGCAAUAAUAUUGAAUCUUGUUGUUAUCUGAGAGAUCAAAUUAAUUGAAAGAAGUCUUUAUCAUUCACUUUGGUCUCCAGUUAAAAGUAUUAUAAUUGCGAAUUAAUCUAAUCCAAAGUUAAUAAUUUUUUUUUCUUGAUUAAUUAGCAUUGCUUAAGUAUAUAUUUCAAGUGGUAUAUUUAAGAGUCGGUGAUUAAAAUAAUUCAACUAGCUAGGGAACUGAACGUGACUAAUCAAAUCUACAACUGGUCAUAGCAAGAAUUUUAAAUUGGGUUACAGUUUGGUAGCACAUUAAUCCAAAAGGGAUUUUACCUUUGCAUAUAUAUAUAUAUAUAUAUAUAUAUAUAUAUAUAUAUAUAUAUAUAUUGAAAGCAAUGGUAUUAUAAAUGACUUUUAGGUGAAUUGAAAUUAAAAGCGUGUUUGGAAACGUGAUUAUGGUUAUUUUUUAAAGUAUUUUUUAUUUAGAAAUAUAUUAAAAUAAUAUUUUUUUUAAAAAAAAUAUUUUUGAUAUUAGCAUAUUAAAAUAAUCAAAAAAUAUCAAAAAAUAUUAAAUUGAAGUAGAUAAAAAAAUAAUUUUUUUUAAUUUUAAAAAAAAUAAAAAACAAACUUACCUGAUAAAUACCAUACACCAAGACAUGGAUUACAAAAAUAAAAUGAUUAUGUUUUUUUUUUUUUAAAGAAACCAACAACCUUGCUAUAAGAUGCAAUAAGGUAUUUUUUGCUUUUGGCAAGAUUAUACUGGUAUCACAGUCAAAUUGUAUAUUUAAUAUGUUAAUUAAGGUGGAUUUGAGUUGAGUUUUUUUGGUUAUCAUUGUUUUUCACUUUAUUUACCAUAUGUUAUAUUUUUUAUUUAUAUUAUUAAAUUAAUUGAGUAGAUUAAAUACGUUAAUAAUUCAAAUUCAAUUUUUUUUUUUUUGCUUUUUCUAAAACGAUUGCAUCACCUUAAUAUUUUUUUUAGGCUAAAAAAAACUGAGGCGGCAAACGAUACAGCAUGAACUAUCUAGUAAUUUCUAAGCUCAUUAAAGGCAUGCAAAAAUCAAAAUGUGGAGACAGCUUAGACUGGAGAAAGUACUUUUUUUUUUACUUCCAACUAUGAGAGAGAGGGAGGGAGGGAGGGAGAGGGAGGGAGAUAACGUAGCCGCCUGGUCCCUCAGCGAGAAGAAAAAAAAAGUCAGAGAAGUUAGGCCAUUUUUUUUUUCUUUUUUAUAGCUAGCUUCUGGCUGAGAAAUUGAUUUAGAAGUUACAUUGGCUAAAAAACAAAGGACAUAUGGAUAUAGUACAAUUAUAAGACUAUAUUCAAGAUUAGUUUGGUUCUAGAUCUGAGUCACGUAUCAGUGGUUACACUCUGUCUUUUUCUUUUUCUUUUUUAAUAGAAAAACUAAAACUACAUUGUUUUGAUAAAAAAAAACAUGUCUUUCCGUUUACUCAUGAAUUAGGUGAAGUCCCGAGCUAGCUAGUCAUCAUGAAUUAGGUGGUAAAUUAUCUGGUUGGUCCGCAGACCAAGCCAAUGUACGUAGUCUUCACAAUAAUUAAACAAAAUCUAUUCACAGUAACAUUGUUUCAAGUGAACACAUAUAGUACUUGAAUUAGUUAUUCAAUUUCCAUACCUUUCACCAAGGUUAUAAACUUCUCCAAAGUAUAUUUUACCAUGAUUGGUUUGCUGCUACGUGUUCAAGGGCAAAAACCAAAUCUAUAUAAAGAGAAGCGAGGGUUGCCUAAGAAGCAGAACAAGAUCUAUUCUGUAGUGAAGUUUGCAAAAAUGGGGUCUCCAAUGGCCUCUCUCCUUGCCACUCUUUUAGUGGCAACAAUCUCUCUCAGCUUGCCAUCAGAAAGCACAGCAGACUACAAGUACUCCUCUCCUCCACCUCCUAAGAAAUCCCCUCCACCACCACCUCCUCCUUAUCACUACAAAUCCCCACCACCUCCUCCUCCAGUGCAUUCUCCGCCACCACCAGUGCACCCUUACAAGUACAAGUCACCACCACUUCCUCCACCAGUGCACAAGCCUCCACCUACACCACCAACGCACCCUUACAAGUACAAGUCUCCACCGCCUCCUCCAGUGCAUUCUCCACCACCACCAGUGCACCCUUACAAGUACAAGUCACCACCACUUCCUCUACCAGUGCAUAAGCCACCAACGCACCCUUACAAAUACAAGUCCCCACCACCUCCUCCACCUUCACCACCAACGCACCCUUACAAGUAUAAGUCCCCACCACCUCCACCAGUGCACAAGCCUCCACCUUCACCAACGCACCCUUACAAGUACAAGUCUCCCCCACCACCUCCAGUUUACAAGUCCCCUCCACCACCUCCUCCAGUUUACAAGUCGCCACCUCCUCCUCCUCACAAGAAGCCAUACAAAUAUAAAUCUCCACCACCUCCUACUCCAGUUUACAAGUACAAGUCUCCUCCACCACCACCACCAGUACACAAGUCUCCACCACCACCUCAUUACAUUUAUGCAUCACCCCCUCCACCUCACCAUUACUAGAUCAUGGCGCUCAUAGUUUCAAGGUACAUGCACGUACGAUUAUUUUGACAAUGCCAAGUAUAUAUAUCUUAAUUAAUAAGUCUCUGAAAACAUAAUGUCAGGUCAAAAUAUUUCAGUGCAGCAUUGCAUUGAAUUAAUUGAUUACUAAGUUUUUUUUUUUCACACAAAUUAAUAUUUAUCGUUUAAAGAUGCACCGGUACUGACAGAUCCAAUGUAUAUGUUUUUACAGGUAAAUGGAAGAGUAUCAUGCAAUAAGGAAAAGGAUGCGAGCAGGAGCUAGCCUUGCAAGGAAGGAAAGGAUAGCUAAUGCGUAUAACGGAGCAAUCUGUGUUUUAUUUAGAAGAUGAAUAAAAAUACAUGUAGUAGAAUUUCCUCAUUUUCAUGUACUAUUACAGAGGUCUGGUACCGGUGAUCGGUUUGCUUAUUUGGUCUGUCGAAAAGUAGCUUAUAUAUAUGUAUGUAUGUGAUUUGAAACCUUUUGUGUGCUGUUGCGUGCAUGGUUGUUUUCAUAUGAAGUGGUAAGAUUAAUAAAAUAAUCUUUAACCAAAACAGAAGGUUACGCUUCACUUCUUUUUAUUAGCAUAUUUUUAUUUUAGUCACCGCGCGCAGUUUCGUUUAAGUGUAACAAACAUCUACUACUUUGUAAAACCGGCAUGCUUGACUAGCUAGCCAGUACAGAAAGAAGAGCUAGCUAGUAUCCUUGGUAGCUAGCUAGCCAGUACGAAACCGUUAAUUUCCCCAGGACCCUUGGUAGAAUUCUUGAACAGUUAAUGGACUCGCCUAGGCGCCGUUAGGUACGCGGUGGAGUUAUUUUUGGUUCUUUAGCUGGACAUCUGACGAGCAUUUUCUGGAUAUAAAUUAGAUUCAUCCAGCUUGCUAUUAUUCUGAUCACUUGUUUCAGUUACGUAUAUAUAUGUUGCUAAAUAUAUAGUCUUUCUGCAGUAGCUUUUCAUUUUUCAUAACAAGAUCUCUUGCCAGCAAUUCCCCGCUACUAAUUGACAACAAAUUAAUAUUUAUGUUAUCCUAGACUUGCAUUCAGUAAUAAGAAUCUCGGUAUAGUGAUUUUCUUUUCUUUUCUUUUUAUAUGUAGUGUGAACGUUGCCAAAAUAUGAAUGGAAAGAUGUGGAAAAUAUUUAAUAAAUAAAACCAGUGAUUUAGUUCUAGAAAGUCCGCACUGAAGGAAUUAAAAUGUCAAAACUGGGAAGCGCAAAGGACAAAUUUUGCGCACACUCUUCUCUAUAUGCGUUCACAUGCUAUUUGAUAUAUAAUGCAAGAGCAAGCUUUCUAUAGUCAUUAUCUUUUUUGGUAAUCAAGACAAGAUGAAAGGGGGUAAGCUGGAAAGGCAAGUGCUGUCUAGCUAGCUAGUAAAGCAACCAUUAGUAGUCUUCCUUGUUUGCAACUUGCAACUUGCAACAGCCCCAAUCACGGAAAGAUAAAAACGGAUAUUCGUCCACACAGGGAGAAGUUUUGCAAUCUACUGAUUCUUAUCUGAUGCCUACAUCAUGUCUUGCUUCUAGUUAAUUAAUGGCAUAUAUCACCCUGAAUUUUAAUUUUGUCUUCUAAUUAAUGCUCUUCAUCGCAAAUACUCUGUUUAGUAAUGCUAUCAAGUGCUAACAUGUUGCUUUUACAUUAAUAUAGAUGUGUACAUAUCUUUCUUUUCUAUGAGCUAUGAGCCUUUCUUCGAUUUCUGAAAUGCAGUACUAAGUAACCUAAUGCCCUAUGGUCUUAUUUCGUAUCACUAAAAUCGGCUAAAACUGCAGGUUAAUUUCUAAAGAGGCAUGCAUGCCAUAAUUUCAAGAGCAAUAAAAAUCGACCCCUUAAUUACACCAGUAAAACACUACAUGCAUGUCACUGAAGUUGAAGAUCAUGACAGAUCAUUGAUGGUAUCAGCCAUUAUCAUUCAGCUAGAUAUAUAGUACAGUGAGAUUUCCUUUUAUUUCUGCUCUCUCGCACAGCUAUGCAUAUAAUAUUGACAUCUUUAUUUUAGGUUUAGUUUCUUGGCAUUGAUCUGCAGCGUAGAUUCAGCUAUCUCUGUUCUGUAUACAUUAUGCUUUGCAACAACGUAAUUAUUCAUAAGCGAUACAUAUUGAAAGAACUAUGGAUUGCACGAUAACCAUAAGCUAAACUGAAAGGGAGAGUGAAUCAUGCCAUGAAUCAAACUGUCUAUUUUAAAAUUUUACUUAAUUGUUUGAAAAUGCAAUACCAAAAACUAUUAUGUUUGAAAGUGUGGUUAUAUUGUUUUUCCAAGUGUUUUCUUAAAAAUAUAUUAAAAUAAUAUUUUUAAUUUUAAAAAAUAAUUUUUGAUAUUAGCGAAUUAAAAUAAUUUAAAAAUAUAAAAAAUAUAUAAAUUUAAAAUAAAAAAAUAUAUUUAUUUAUUUUUCAAAUAUUUUUAAAAUACAAAAAUUAACAUGGUUUCGUCUUCCCAUAACACGAACGUACAUUUCGAACUUUUAUUUAUUUUUGUAUUCACAAAACGUCAUGCGCUCCAUUUCUCCUCCACAGGCGUUAGUUCUGUCUUUCACCAGCUCUGCCGUACAGAUCUAGUGUUUACUUGCUCAAAGGCACGUGAGAUGAAGUCGUGGAGAUUAAUAACUUUCCUCGCAAAGAACCAUCACACUUGUAUCCGGCCCGGUCUAAUUCACGCAUCUUUGAAACGUAAACAAACAAUAUUUUCUGCAUUUAUUCUUUUAAAAUAUUUUAGUCAAUCUAUUUUGCAUAAAAAAAUAUUUUUUUAUAUUUUUUUAUCUUCAAAUAUUUUACAGAAAAAAUAAUUUAUAAAAAAUAAUUUAUAAUCAGUUUUCAAACAUGAUUUGUUUUCUAAAUAAUAAUUAUAGUUUAUAAAAUUCUAUAAAAUAUUUUACAAGUAAUAAUUUACUUAUUAUAUCAUUUAAUUAUUUUUACCACCACUUCUUCCUUCUCCACAACCUUCCCAUUCAUUAUUAUUAUAACUUUUUUUUUCCACCAUUAUUAUUAUUUCAUCACUACAAUCACUAUCUUCUUUUCCUUUAUUAUCAUUAAAAAAAUAUUUUAUAAGAAAUUAUUUUUUAAAAAUAAAUAUUGAAAAAUAUUUUAUGCUGAAGGGUGUUAUUGGUACAUAGAAGAAGAAUAAUAAUAUUGCAUCUUGUUGUUAUCUGAAAGAUAAAAUUAAUUGAAAGGUAUCUUUAUCAUUCAUUUUGAUCUCUAGUUAAAAGUAUUAUAAUUGCGAGUUAAUCUAAUCCGAAGUUAAUGCUUUUUUUCUUGAUUAGCUAGCAUUGCUUACGUAUUUGGAGUCGUAUAUUUAAGAGUCGGUGAUUAAAAUAAUUCAACUAGCUAGAGAACUGAACGUGACUAAUCAAAUCUUGAACAUGGUCAUAGCAAGAAUUUUAAAUUGGGUUACAGUUUGGUAACACGUUAAUCCAGAAGGGAUUUUACCUUUGCAUAUAUAUAUAUAUAUAUAUAUAGAAAGCAAUGAUAUUAGAAAUGACUUUUAGGUGAAUUGAAAGUAAAAAUAUGUUUGGAAAUGUAAUUGUGAUUGUUUUUUAAAGUAUUUUUUUAUUUAAAAAUAUAUUAAAAUAAUUUUUUUAUAAUUAUUUUUUAUAUCAACGUACUAAAAUGAUUUUAAAAUAUUAAAAAAUAUAUUAAAUUGAAGUAAAUAAAAUAAAAUUUUAAUUAUUUUUAAAAUACAAAUACAAACAAGAUUUGAGUACAAAUAUAAACUGAUAGAAAAAAAACACUGUAUGUUUAUUCUAUGGGUAGCUAUUGUCAUGUGAAAUUUUUGUUUUAAAAAAAUCUUCUACUAUACACCAAUACAUGGAUUACAAAAAUAAAAUGAUAAUGUUUUUUUUUUUUUUUUUAAGAAACCAACAACCUGGUAUAAGAUGUAAUAAGGUAUUUUUUUGCUUUUGGCAAGAUUAUAGUGGUAUCACAGUCAAAUUGUUUAUUUAAUAUGUUAAUUAGGGUGGAUUUGAGUUGAGUUUUUUUGUUAUCAUUGUUUUUCAUUUUUUUACCAUUGUUAUAUUUUUUAUUUAUAUUAUUAAAUUAAUUGAAUUUAUUAAAUACGUUAAUAAUUCAAAUUCAUUUUUUUUUUGCUUUUUCUAAAAUGACUGCAUCACCUUAAUAUUUUUUUUAGGCUAAAAGAAACUGAGGCGGCAAACGAUACAGCGUGAAGUACCUAUCUAGUAAUUUCCAAGCUCAUUAAAGGCAUGCAAAAAUCAAAAUAUGGAGACAGAUUAGACUGGAGAAAGUACUUUUUUUUUUUUACUAGAGAGAGUAGCCGCCUGGUCCCUCAGUGAGAAGAAAAAAAAAGUCAGAGAAGUUAGGCCAUUUUUUUUUUCCUUUUUUAUAGCUAGCUUCUGGUUGAGAAAUUGAUUUAGAAGUUACAAUGGCUAAAAAACAAAGGACAUAUGGAUAUAGUACAACUAUAAGACUAUAUUCAAGAUUAAUUUGGUUCUAGAUAGUCAUGUAUCAGUGGUUACACUCUGUCUUUUUCUAAAAUAAUAAAAAAAACUAAAACUACAUUGUUUUUACAAAAAAAACAUGUCUUUCCGUUUACUUGUGAAUUAGGUGAAGUCCCGAGCUAGCUAGUCAUCAAGAGUUAACCUUUUUUUCUGAGGCGGUAAAUUAUCUGGUUGGUCCGCAGACCAAGCCAAUGUACGUAGUCUUCACAAUAAUUAAACAAAAUCUAUUCACAGUAACAUUGUUUCAAGUGAACACAUAUAGUACAUGAAUUACUUAUUCUAUUUCCACACCUUUCACUAAGGUUAUAAACUUCUCCAAAGUAUAUUUUACCAUGAUUGGUUUGCUACGUGUUCAAGGGUAAAAACCAAAUCUAUAUAAAGAGAAGCGAGGGUUGCCUAAUAGAAGCAGAACAAGAUCUCUUUUGUAGUGAAGUCGGCAAAAAUGGGGUCUCCAAUGGCCUUUCUCCUUGCCACUCUCUUAGUGGCAACAAUCUCUCUCAGCUUGCCAUCAGAAAGCACAGCAGACUACAAGUACUCCUCUCCUCCACCUCCUAAGAAAUCCCCUCCACCACCACUUCCUCCUUAUCACUACAAAUCCCCACCACCUCCUCCUCCAGUGCAUUCCCCACCACCACCAGUGCACCCUUACAAGUACAAGUCACCACCACCUCCUCCACCAGUGCACAAGCCUCCACCUUCACCACCAACGCAUCCUUACAAGUACAAGUCCCCACCACCUCCUCCACCAGUGCACAAGCCUCCACCUUCACCACCAACGCACCCUUACAAGUACAACCACCUCCUCCAGUGCAUUCUCCACCACCACCACACGCACCUUACAAGUACAAGUCUCCACCGCCUCCUCCAGUGCAUUCUCCACCCCCUCCUCCAUCGCCAGUUUACAAGUACAAGUCUCCCCCACCACCUCCGCCAGUUCACAAAUCACCACCCCUACCACCCAAGAAGCCCUACAAGUAUAAGUCUCCCCCACCACCUCCACCAGUUCACAAGUCACCACCCUACCACCCAAGAAACCCUACAAGUAUAAGUCUCCACCGCCUCCUCCAGUGCAUUCUCCACCCCCUCCUCCAUCGCCAGUUUACAAGUACAAGUCUCCCCCCACCUCCGCCAGUUCACAAGUCACCACCCUAUCACCCAAGAAGCCUACAAGUAUAGUCUCCCCCCACCUCCCAGUUCACAAGUCACCACCCCUACCACCCAAGAAACCCUACAAGUAUAAGUCUCCCCCACCACCUCCAGUUUACAAGUCCCCUCCACCACCUCCUCCAGUUUACAAGUCGCCACCUCCUCCUCCUCACAAGAAGCCAUACAAAUAUAAAUCUCCUCCUCCAGUUUACAGUCGCCACCUCUCUCCUCACAAGAAGCCAUACAAAUAUAAUCUCCACCGCCUCCUACUCCAGUUUACAAGUACAAGUUCCUCACCACCACCAGUACAAGUCUCCCACCACUCAUUACAUUUACGCAUCACCCCCUCCACCUCACCAUUACUAGAUCAUGGCGCUCAUAGUUUCAAGGUACAUGCACGUACGAUUAUUUUGACAAUGCCAAGUAUAUAUAUCUUAAUUAAUAAGUCUCUGAAAACAUAAUGUCAGGUCAAAAUAUUUCAGUGCAGCAUUGCAUUGAAUUAAUUGAUUACUAUGUUUUUUUUUCCACACAAAUUAAUAUUUAUCGUUUAAAGAUGCACCAGUACUGACAGAGAUCCAAUGUAUAUGUUUUUACAGGUAAAUGGAAGAGUAUCAUGCAAUAAGGAAAAGGAUGCGAGCAGGAGCUAGCCUUACAAAGAAGGAAAGGAUAGCUAAUGCGUAUAACGGAGCAAUCUGUGUUUUAUUUAGAAGAUGAAUAAAAAUACAUGUAGUAGAAUUUCCUCAUUUUCAUGUACUAUUACAGAGGUCUGGUGAUCGGUUUGCUUAUUUGGUCUGUCGAAAAGUAGCUUAUAUAUAUGUAUGUAUGUGAUUUGAGACCUUUUGUGUGCUGUUGCAUGCAUAUGGUUGUUUUCAUAUGAAGUGGUAAGAUUAAUAAAAUAAUCUUUAACCAAAACAGAAGGUUACGCUUCACUUCUUUUUAUUAGCAUAUUUUUAUUUUAGCCACCGCGCGCAGUUUCGUUCAAGUGUAACAAACAUCUACUACUUUGUAACAUCGGCAUGUUUGACUAGCUAGC
rnacentral:lncRNA from 1 species